GGAGCGCCGGGAAGGUUCUACUUCCAAACACCGACCCGGGUUGGAGCUUUGCCUUCCACGGCGACGUUUUUAGGGCUUUGAGAUCAAAACUUGAGGCUGGAGAGAAUGGAGACACCGAGGAAGAGAAGACCCGGAGGAGAGGGAGAAGAAGGUCUCGUCUCGGACCCAAAGAGGCAACGGCUCUCAUCCGAAGAAGGAGAAGAAGAAAGGGUUGGAGUGGAUUCUGUGAGCAACAAUGGCUCUCUCCUCGUUCUCGCCGAUUACCCAGACGACGACGAUGAAGAGGAGGACGAGGAGAAGGGGAAGGCCCGAGAGAACGGGCGUACGGAAGAGGAAAGGGAGGAGGAGGAGGAGGAGGUGCGACGGCCGGCGCCCGGGAAGCGGCAGCGGCAGGUGGAGGUCCGGAGGGACUGUCCUUAUCUUGAUACUGUCAACCGCCAGGUUUUGGACUUUGAUUUUGAAAAGGCAUGCUCUAUUUCUCUGUCAAAUUUGAAUGUAUAUGCAUGCUUGGUCUGUGGGAAGUAUUACCAAGGAAGAGGUCUGAAUUCUCAUGCAUAUACUCACAGUCUUGAAGCAGGGCACCAUGUGUAUAUCAAUCUUCAAACAGAAAAAGUUUAUUGCCUUCCUGAUGGAUAUGAAAUAAAUGAUCCAUCAUUGGAUGACAUCCGUCAUGUUCUAAACCCAAGGUUUACUAGGGAACAAGUUCUACAUCUUGAUGAAAAUAGGCAGUGGUCGAGGGCACUCGAUGGUUCCAACUAUCUUCCUGGAAUGGUGGGUCUCAAUAACAUUAAGGAGACUGAUUUUGUUAAUGUCACAAUUCAGUCAUUGAUGCGGGUGACUCCUUUGAGGAAUUUCUUUCUUAUUCCUGAGAAUUAUCAACACAACAAGUCUCCACUUGUUCAUAGGUUUGGAGAACUUACACGAAAAAUUUGGCAUGCACGGAACUUCAAGGGACAGGUUAGCCCACAUGAGUUCCUACAGGCAGUUAUGAAAGCUAGUAAUAAGCGGUUCCAAAUAGGUGUACAAUCAGAUCCUGUUGAAUUCAUGUCCUGGCUAUUGAAUACACUGCAUGCAGAACUUAAAUCAAAGAAAACAAAAAGGAGCAUUAUUCAUGAUUGCUUUCAGGGAGAAUUGGAGGUUGUGAAGGAGAUCCAUAAGAAAGUUCUUACAGAAAAGAAAGAAAAUGGUGACGAACAGAACAAUGCAGUUGCUGCAGAGGGUGGAACAGCAAAUGACGAUGUUGUGAGAGAAACAUCUAAAGUGAAAUUCUUAAUGCUUGGUCUUGACUUGCCUCCUCCCCCUCUUUUUAAAGAUGCAAUGGAGAAAAAUAUCAUUCCUCAGGUUCCACUUUUUAAUAUAUUGAAGAAAUUUGAUGGUGAGACUGUCACUGAGGUGGUGCGGCCUUGCAUUGCAAGGAUGAGAUAUCGUGUUACUAGACUACCGAAGUACCUGAUUCUCCACAUGCGGCGUUUUACAAAAAAUAACUUCUUCAUUGAAAAGAAUCCUACUCUUGUUAACUUUCCAGUGAAGAAUCUCGAGUUGAAAGAUUAUAUUCCAUUACCUACACCAAGGGAGAACAAGAAGCUGCGGUCAAAGUAUGAUCUUAUUGCUAACAUUGUUCAUGAUGGCAAGCCAGGCGAAGGAUCUUAUAGAGUUUUCGUGCAGCGUAAAUCAGAAGAGCUAUGGUAUGAGAUGCAGGACCUUCAUGUAACAGAAACUCUUCCACAAAUGGUUGCUCUCUCAGAGGCCUAUAUGCAGAUUUAUGAGCAGCAAGAGUGACUGAAAGAUGCUAGUUCUUGCUUUAGCUGCUAGGAAUGUGUAACCCAACAUACAGUGGUUCUGAAGCGUUGGAUAUUUGUUCAUCACUCUCAAGGACUCUGAUCUUCUGCAUCAUUGUUUCAAUAAAGACCGAUCCUUUAUUGCUUUGCUGAGUUUUACCUUGAUUUCGUCGCAGAGAUCAAACCAUGUUGUCAGUUGCUCUCGGUGCAGCGACCUGCACAUGGGACCAAGAACUCUUCUACGCGCAGUGAGACUUGAAUGAGAUGGUUUCUUGCAGUUUUGCAUAAGCUGGUUGGAGGCUGGAGUAGGUAACGGGAGGGUCGAGCGCCUUUAGGCCGUUGCCUAAUUCUCGUGUUAUCUUGGAACUUUUGCCCAACAUCUGGUGGGUGCGUCAUGGGUGACGAGCAGAGAAUCUAUUGCGGGCUCUUCACGGGGGAGUGGUUGGAUACCGGUCUGGACUAUGGGGCCGCUCCUAGGCAAGGGUGGCAUAAGGCAGGUUGCGGCCGGCUUUGUGGAUGGAGCAUCGGAUGCUGGAGGAGAUGGAGAGGCUCCAAUGUCACUUCCCCGAGGUCCUUGAGCUUCUCUGUGAGCAGAUCGGAUCGGUGAGGCGAGAUUGGAAGAUGUUGGCUGUGAUUUGGCAGAGCUUGGGUUGGAGGGGAUUGGUCAAUUGGGUUGGGGUAGAUUCUUGUCGCUUAGUCGAUUAAGCAGAACUGAUUAUGUUCCAUCAAUUAUAUUCUGUUGACUAAGUUGAGCCGAUUAUAUUCGGUCGAUUAAGUUCAGUCGAUUAAGUUGAGUCGACUAUGUUUUACC